GACGAACGCUGGCGGCGUGCUUAACACAUGCAAGUCGAACGGUGAAGCUCCAGCUUGCUGGAGUGGAUCAGUGGCGAACGGGUGAGUAACACGUGAGCAACCUGCCCCUGACUCUGGAAUAAGCGCUGGAAACGGCGUCUAAUACUGGAUACGAGAAGGGUCCGCAUGGGCACUUUCUGGAAAGGUGUUCGGUUGGGGAUGGGCUCGCGGCCUAUCAGCUUGUUGGUGAGGUAAUGGCUGACCAACGCGACGACGGGCAGCCGGCCUGGGAGGGCGACCGGCCACAUUGGGACUGAGACGCGGCCCAGAAUACGACAGGAGGCAGCAGUGGGGAAUAUUACACAAUGGACGAAAGCCUGAUGCAGGGACGCGGCGUGCGGGAUGACGGCCUUCGGGGGGUAAACCUCUUUCAGCAGGGAUGAAGCGAAAGUGACGGUACCUGCAGAAGAAGCACCGGCUAACUACGUG
rnacentral:rRNA from 1 species